UACGGAGGAUGCGAGCGUUAUCCGGAUUUAUUGGGUUUAAAGGGUGCGCAGGCGGCGUGUCAAGUCAGCGGUAAAAUGUCGGGGCUCAACCCCGGCCGGCCGUUGAAACUGGCGUGCUCGAGUUGGAGAGAAGUAUGCGGAAUUCGUGGUGUAGCGGUGAAAUGCAUAGAUAUCACGAAGAACCCCGAUUGCGAAGGCAGCAUACCGGCUCCACACUGACGCUGAGGCUCGAAAGCGUGGGGAGCGAACAGG
rnacentral:rRNA from 1 species